rnacentral:rRNA from 1 species
GACGAACGCUGGCGGCGUGCUUAACACAUGCAAGUCGAACGGAAAGGCCCCCUUGUGGGGUACUCGAGUGGCGAACGGGUGAGUAACACGUGAGUAACCUACCCUUGACUUUGGGAUAACUUCAGGAAACUGGAGCUAAUACCGGAUAGGAGCUCCUGCUGCAUGGUGGGGGUUGGAAAGUUUCGGCGGUUGGGGAUGGACUCGCGGCUUAUCAGCUUGUUGGUGGGGUAGUGGCUCACCAAGGCUUUGACGGGUAGCCGGCCUGAGAGGGUGACCGGCCACAUUGGGACUGAGAUACGGCCCAGACUCCUACGGGAGGCAGCAGUGGGGAAUAUUGCACAAUGGGCGGAAGCCUGAUGCAGCAACGCCGCGUGCGGGAUGACGGCCUUCGGGUUGUAAACCGCUUUCGCCUGUGACGAAGCGUGAGUGACGGUAAUGGGUAAAGAAGCACCGGCUAACUACGUG